rnacentral:antisense_RNA from 1 species
AGAAGAAGGAGCCGGAUUGCACAGUGAGCCACCAAUCAUCAAUCCAGGCUCUCCUGUCGCUUCCCUACAUCCUCUACCUCUCCAAACUUCUCCCCUCUCUUGACUUAGCACCUCCAAAAAGGUACAUCUUGGCAUAAGGAAAGGAGCUUCUGACUUAAGCCUUGUAAAAAUGUGCUGAGGGAUUUGUUUCUGUGGCCUCCUUUUUGAGCUGAGAAGACUCCCGAGUGAUGUGAAUGGCAAAGCUUGGCUUGAAGCUGUUCCCUUGUGCCUCUGUUACUUCAAGGCCUGGGACCCAAUUCGAUCUAAGCCAGUUCGGUCUGGCUUCCCCUGACCAUGUGGGUGUUGAGUAAGAAAGAGCUAUGAGGAAGAAAGGUUUGCACAGCCCAUCAGGACCCAGAGAGCUUUGCAUCUUGAAGAAAAACAAAGCACACUGAAAUGGUGAA